AGUCGAACGGAGUUCUGAUGUGUGAAGCGAAGUAGCUUGUUACGGAGUGGAACUUUUCAGAACUUAGUGGCGGACGGGUGAGUAACGCGUGGGUAACCUACCUCAUACAGGGGGAUAACAGUUAGAAAUGACUGCUAACACCGCAUAACAUGGCGAGACCGCAUGACCUUGCCAUCAAAAAUUUAUUGGUAUGAGAUGGGCCCGCGUCUGAUUAGCUAGUUGGUGGGGUAAAGGCCUACCAAGGCGACGAUCAGUAGCCGGCUUGAGAGAGUGACCGGCCACAUUGGGACUGAGACACGGCCCAAACUCCUACGGGAGGCAGCAGUGGGGAAUAUUGGACAAUGGGGGCAACCCUGAUCCAGCGACGCCGCGUGAGUGAAGAAGUAUUUCGGUAUGUAAAGCUCUAUCAGCAGGGAAGAUAAUGACAGUACCUGACUAAGAAGCACCGGCUAAAUACGUGCCAGCAGCCGCGGUAAUACGUAUGGUGCAAGCGUUAUCCGGAUUUACUGGGUGUAAAGGGAGCGUAGGCGGCUUGGCAAGUCUGAUGUGAAAACCCGGGGCUCAACCUCGGGACUGCAUUGGAAACUGUCGAGCUGGAGUGUCGGAGAGGUGAGCGGAAUUCCUAGUGUAGCGGUGAAAUGCGUAGAUAUUAGGAGGAACACCAGUGGCGAAGGCGGCUCACUGGACGAUAACUGACGCUGAGGCUCGAAAGCGUGGGGAGCAAACAGGAUUAGAUACCCUGGUAGUCCACGCUGUAAACGAUGAAUACUAGGUGUUGGGGUACAAAAGUACCUCGGUGCCGUCGCUAACGCAGUAAGUAUUCCACCUGGGGAGUACGUUCGCAAGAAUGAAACUCAAAGGAAUUGACGGGGACCCGCACAAGCGGUGGAGCAUGUGGAUUAAUUCGACGCAACGCGAAGAACCUUACCUGCUCUUGACAUCCCUCUGACCGCUCCUUAAUCGGAGCUUUCCUUCGGGACAGAGGUGACAGGUGGUGCAUGGUUGUCGUCAGCUCGUGUCGUGAGAUGUUGGGUUAAGUCCCGCAACGAGCGCAACCCUUAUCCUUAGUAGCCAGCGGUUCGGCCGGGCACUCUAGGGAGACUGCCGGGGUUAACCCGGAGGAAGGUGGGGAUGACGUCAAAUCAUCAUGCCCCUUAUGAGUAGGGCUUCACACGUGCUACAAUGACGACUACAAAGAGAAGCAAUACCGCGAGGUUGAGCAAAUCCCAAAAAAGUCGUCUCAGUUCGGAUUGUAGUCUGCAACUCGACUACAUGAAGCUGGAAUCGCUAGUAAUCGCGAAUCAGCAUGUCGCGGUGAAUACGUUCCCGGGUCUUGUACACACCGCCCGUCACACCAUGGGAGAUGGAUAUGCCCGAAGUCAGUGACCUAACCGUAAGGAAGGAGCUGCCGAAGG
rnacentral:rRNA from 1 species